CCCCAAAGCAGCUAGAUCAUCUCCGUUGUUAUCUGCAAAGGUUUUGUAUACUUAUAAAAGCAAUAAGCAUCUUGAUCUUCCUCAAAAUUCAGCAUGGCAAAAAUGGCUGCUACUAAGGCCACCAAGUUGAUAGUUGUGGCUGUUCUUGUUGCGAUCUUUCUGCUCAUGUCCACUGAGGUGGCCAUUGCUGCACUUGAUGCAACAUUGACAGAUCAUCUUAAGCUUGCAUAAUAUACUUAAUUUACGGUAAUUGCGGGAAGAAGGGUUCUUCAAACUGAGUACAACACCAAUGGGAGGGGAGGAUACAAUAGCUACAAUACCACUGGCCGUGGAGGAUAUAAUUAAUUAGAUUUAGUAGUAACUUGGUCGUAUUAUUAAUAAUUGUACCCUAAUUAAGCUAUUGCAUGUAUGCUUUGUUAA